rnacentral:rRNA from 1 species
UGCAGUCGAACGGUGAAGCGAGAGCUUGCUCUCGUGGAUCAGUGGCGAACGGGUGAGUAACACGUGAGUAACCUGCCCCAGACUCUGGGAUAAGCCUUGGAAACGAGGUCUAAUACCGGAUACGAGACGAGACCGCAUGGUCAUCGUCUGGAAAGAAUUUCGGUCUGGGAUGGACUCGCGGCCUAUCAGCUUGUUGGUGAGGUAACGGCUCACCAAGGCGACGACGGGUAGCCGGCCUGAGAGGGCGACCGGCCACACUGGAACUGAGACACGGUCCAGACUCCUACGGGAGGCAGCAGUGGGGAAUAUUGCACAAUGGGCGCAAGCCUGAUGCAGCGACGCCGCGUGGGGGAUGAAGGCCUUCGGGUUGUAAACCCCUUUCAGCAGGGAAGAAGCGAAAGUGACGGUACCUGCAGAAGAAGCGCCGGCUAACUACGUGCCAGCAGCCGCGGUAAUACGUAGGGCGCAAGCGUUGUCCGGAAUUAUUGGGCGUAAAGAGCUCGUAGGCGGUCUGUCGCGUCUGCUGUGAAAACCCGAGGCUCAACCUCGGGCCUGCAGUGGGUACGGGCAGACUAGAGUGUGGUAGGGGAGACUGGAAUUCCUGGUGUAGCGGUGGAAUGCGCAGAUAUCAGGAGGAACACCAAUGGCGAAGGCAGGUCUCUGGG